rnacentral:rRNA from 1 species
UACGUUGGGUGCGAGCGUUGUCCGGAAUUAUUGGGCGUAAAGAGCUCGUAGGCGGUCUGUCGCGUCUGCUGUGAAAACUCGGGGCUUAACCCCGGGCCUGCAGUGGGUACGGGCAGACUAGAGUGCGGUAGGGGAGACUGGAAUUCCUGGUGUAGCGGUGAAAUGCGCAGAUAUCAGGAGGAACACCGGUGGCGAAGGCGGGUCUCUGGGCCGUAACUGACGCUGAGGAGCGAAAGCGUGGGGAGCGAACAGG